UAAGUCCCGCAACGAGCGCAACCCUUAAGCUUAGUUGCCAUCAUUAAGUUGGGCACUCUAAGUUGACUGCCGGUGACAAACCGGAGGAAGGUGGGGAUGACGUCAAAUCAUCAUGCCCCUUAUGAUUUGGGCUACACACGUGCUACAAUGGACAAUACAAAGGGCAGCGAAACCGCGAGGUCAAGCAAAUCCCAUAAAGUUGUUCUCAGUUCGGAUUGUAGUCUGCAACUCGACUACAUGAAGCUGGAAUCGCUAGUAAUCGUAGAUCAGCAUGCUACGGUGAAUACGUUCCCGGGUCUUGUACACACCGCCCGUCACACCACGAGAGUUUGUAACACCCGAAGCCGGUGGAGUAACCUUUUAGGAGCUAGCCGUCGAAGGUGGGACAAAUGAUUGGGGUGAAGUCGUAACAAGGUAGCCGUAUCGGAAGGUGCGGCUGGAUCACCUCCUUU
rnacentral:rRNA from 1 species